UCACAGUUCUUAGUAUAGAGCCUGACUAACUGUGGACAUAUUUACACUACAGAUUUAAAACUGACUUAAUAGUUAUUUUCUCUACUCUGAGAAAUGGCACCCUUGUGAUCUGUGUAAGAGGGUCUUAUUUUUGGAUGGCUGUCCAGUUUCGAGAGAAAGAAACCUUGAUGUUACCCACCCCAUGAAGUUACAACAACAGAUUAUCCAAAAGAACAACAAAACAAAACAGAAAACAUCAUCUCCAGCCCAAGGAUUCCGGUGCAGGGCAUUAAAGAUGGGAAGAACUUCCUGAUAUUCCACAACCAUCCCCUGAGCAAUGCCAAUUUGAGUGAUGGUCAUUCAUCCAACACCACCAAUUGAACUUCGUGGCAGAGCUGACAUUUGAACCUAUGUUUCUCUAAUCGGAAUCUGGGUCUUUAUGCACUACAUCACACUGCAUUAAUUUUCUCCUGUAGAAUGGUUUCUUUGAGCAACCCUUCAGUUUUCUAUGGGUUGAAUGUUGCUGUUAUCUCCUUAAAGUUGAGACAACAAACAGGCAAAUGAGAGAGGUUCUGUUUGGACUCUCGUGUUUACAUUACCAACAGAAUGCUGCCUUUUAUUUGCAUUUUUUGAAGCUUCACUGAAGAGGAGAGCAGCAGCGAUCUGCAAAAGGGGGUGGA